rnacentral:lncRNA from 1 species
GGGGCCGCGGCCGCAGCGCCCGGAGGGGCCGCCCUGCGCAUGCCCGCGGGAGGCUCUCCUUCUGCCUCCGCAUGCCCAACGAUCCGGAGAAAAACACGGACCAUGACAUCAAAAGGCCUUGGCCAAGGAAUCGUGAUUAUUGUGAUACAAGAUUCUGCACCUCAAAGGGGAUCCCUGUAGUGAGUUUUGGAAAACGUACAAAGCCUGACUUACAAUAUGCCUGUUAUCUGUGGCGUUUCAUCUGGGGAACUUACUUUUCCUUGAUAGGGUAAACUAUUCUCAUCCAGAGUAUGUCCCUCAGUCUGUAAAAGUCCAUGGUGCCCUACAUCUAUUAGGGGAGUGAGGAAGGGCAGUGGGCAUUGGAUCUGCUUCUUUGAAAGCCCCCACCUGUGUUUAGCUUCUGUUAGAGGCCUUUGAACCAGAGCAACUCCAUCUUGAGUAGGCGCUGGGUAAAAUGAGGCUG